rnacentral:rRNA from 1 species
GUGAGGAAUUUUCCGCAAUGGGCGAAAGCCUGACGGAGCAAUGCCGCGUGAAGGAUGAAGGCCUAUGGGUUGUAAACUUCUUUUCUCAGAAAAGAAUUAUGACGGUAUCUGAGGAAUAAGCAUCGGCUAACUCUGUGCCAGCAGCCGCGGUAAGACAGAGGAUGCAAGCGUUAUCCGGAAUGAUUGGGCGUAAAGCGUCUGUAGGUUGUUUAAAAAGUAUUCUGUCAAAGAUUAGGGCUUAACCCUAGAUAGGCAGAAUAAACUUUUAAGCUAGAGUUUGGUAGAGGCAGAGGGAAUGCCCGGUGGAGCGGUGAAAUGCGUAGAUAUCGGGAGGAACACCAAAGGCGAAGGCACUCUGCUGGGCCAAUACUAACACUGAGAGACGAAAGCGAGGGGAGCAAAUGGGAUUAGAAACCCCUGUAGUCC